rnacentral:rRNA from 1 species
GGAUGAUCUACCUUCUGGUGAGGAAUAACCCUGGGAAACCGGGGCUAAUACCGCAUAAGCUCGAGAGAGGAAAGCAGCAAUGCGCCGGAAGAGGAGUCCGCGGCCGAUUAGCUAGUUGGCAGGGUAAAAGCCUACCAAGGCGAAGAUCGGUAGCCGGCCUGAGAGGGCACACGGCCACACUGGCACUGAAACACGGGCCAGACUCCUACGGGAGGCAGCAGUGGGGAAUCUUGCACAAUGGGGGAAACCCUGAUGCAGCGACGCCGCGUGAGCGAUGAAGCCCUUCGGGGUGUAAAGCUCUUUCGGCAGGGAAGAUGAUGACGGUACCUGCAGAAGCAGCUGCGGCUAACUACGUGCCAGCAGCCGCGGUAAUACGUAGGCAGCAAGCGUUGUUCGGAGUUACUGGGCGUAAAGGGUGUGUAGGCGGUUGCUUAAGUUUGGUGUGAAAUCUCCCGGCUCAACUGGGAGGGUGCGCCGAAUACUGAGUGACUCGAGUGCGGGAGAGGAGAGUGGAAUUCCUGGUGUAGCGGUGAAAUGCGUAGAUAUCAGGAGGAACACCGGUGGUGUAGACGGCUCUCUGGACCGUAACUGACGCUGAUACACGAAAGCGUGGGUAGCAAACAGGAUUAGAUACCCUGGUAGUCCACGCCCUAAACGAUGCAUAUUUGGUGUGGGCCGUUCAGUCGGUCCGUGCCGGAGCUAACGCGUUAAAUAUGCCGCCUGGGGAGUACAGUCGCAAGGCUGAAACUCA